GCUGGAAGUAAAUAACCUCUGGAGAUCAUUUGGGGGAGUUGAGAGCCGUUUCGCAGUCAUGAGACGUGUAGGCUGACUCGUGGAAACCUGUGAGCCCCUAAAUCCAGGACAGAUGGCUGCUAGGCUGUAUUCGUGUCUGAAAUACAGCGGUACUUUGCUGUGUGAAUCCGCGCCUUUUCUUGCAAGGACCAGCCCCUGAGGGAGAAAUCUUUUAUUUGUCAUUCGUGGUUCAUCAAGGCCGAGUUGAAGGUGUCUUUCAGAUGAAGAAGGGUUGAAGCAGAAUCCUACCUCCUGCUGCCUCUGCUUCUGCAUAGAAAUCAGAGUGGCCUGAUGGGGGAGCUGAGUCUAAGGCUGAUCAGAUGAGCAGUUAGUUAUUCUCUAAACAGGAAGGGCAAGGCCAUUUGACAUUGCAUUGGGGUUUAAAAACGAGAAAUAAAUACAUUUGAUGGUGGUGGUGGUGGU
rnacentral:lncRNA from 1 species